GCCCUAUCAACUUUCGUCGGUACGGUAUUUGCCUACCGAGGUUCUUACGGGUGACGGGGAAUCAGGGUUCGAUUCCGGAGAGGGAGCCUGAGAAACGGCUACCACAUCCAAGGAAGGCAUCAGGCGCGCAAAUUACCCAUUCCCGACGCGGGGAGGUAGUGACGAAAAAUAACAAUGCAGGACUCGUUCGAGGCCCUGUAAUUGGAAUGAGUACACUUUAAAAGCUUUAACGAGUAUCCAUUGGAGGGCAAGUCUGGUGCCAGCAGCCGCGGUAAUUCCAGCUCCAAAAGUAUAUAUUUAAGUUGUUGCGGUUAAAAAGCUCGUAGUUGGAUUUUGGGCGCAGGCGGCCGGUCCGUCGCAAGGCGUGUACUGGACGUCCUGGCCUUCCCUCCGGUUCUCCGCCGGUGCUCUUGACUGAGUGUCGGCGGCGGCCGGAACGUUUACUUUGAAAAAAUUAGAGUGUUCAAAGCAGGCUCUCGAGCCUGGAUAAUGGUGCAUGGAAUAAUGGAAUAGGACCUCGGUUCUAUUUUGUUGGUUUUCGGAGCGCGAGGUAAUGAUUAAGAGGGACAGACGGGGGCAUUCGUACUGUGCCGUUAGAGGUGAAAUUCUUGGAUCGGCGCAAGACGAACGACUGCGAAAGCAUUUGCCCAGAAUGUUUUCUUUAAUCAAGAGCGAAAGU
rnacentral:ncRNA from 1 species